rnacentral:ribozyme from 16 species
ACAAGAACAAGGUGAAAAACAGUUCAAAAAAGUACAUUCCUUUUUUUUGUUUUGUUCUUGUUAUAUUUCUUUUU